GAUGAACGCUGGCGGCGUGCCUAAUACAUGCAAGUCGAGCGAACAGACGAGGAGCUUGCUCCUCUGACGUUAGCGGCGGACGGGUGAGUAACACGUGGAUAACCUACCUAUAAGACUGGGAUAACUUCGGGAAACCGGAGCUAAUACCGGAUACUAUAUUGAACCGCAUGGUUCAAUAGUGAAAGACGGUUUUGCUGUCACUUAUAGAUGGAUCCGCGCCGCAUUAGCUAGUUGGUAAGGUAACGGCUUACCAAGGCAACGAUGCGUAGCCGACCUGAAAGGGAGAUAGGCCACACUGGAACUGAGACACGGUCCAGGCUCCUACGGGAGGCAGCAGUAGGGAAUCUUCCGCAGUAGACGAAAGCUUGACGGAGCAACGCCGCGUGAGUGAUGAAGGUCUUCGGAUCGUAAAACUCUGUUAUUAGGGAAGAACAAAUGUGUAAGUAACUAUGCACGUCUUGACGGUACCGAAUCAGAAAGCCACGGCUAACUACGUG
rnacentral:rRNA from 1 species